rnacentral:rRNA from 1 species
AUUGAACGCUGGCGGCAUGCCUUACACAUGCAAGUCGAACGGUAACAGGUCUUCGGAUGCUGACGAGGGGCGAACGGGUGAGUAAUACAUCGGAACGUGCCUAGUAGUGGGGGAUAACUACUCGAAAGAGUGGCUAAUACCGCAGGAGAUCUACGGAUGAAAGCAGGGGAUCGCAAGACCUUGUGCUACUAGAGCGGCCGAUGGCAGAUUAGGUAGUUGGUGGGAUAAAAACUUACCAAGCCGACGAUCUGUAGCUGGUCUGAGAGGACGAUCAGCCACACUGGGACUGAGACACGGCCCAGACUCCUACGGGAGGCAGCAGUGGGGAAUUUUGGACAAUGGGCGAAAGCCUGAUCCAGCAAUGCCGCGUGCAGGAUGAAGGCCUUCGGGUUGUAAACUGCUUUUGUACGGAACGAAAAGCCCCGGGUUAAUACCCUGGGGUCAUGACGGUACCGUAAGAAUAAGCACCGGCUAACUACGUGCCAGCCGCCGCCGUAA